rnacentral:lncRNA from 1 species
CUAAGUUUAACAUCGAGUUCCCCGAUUUGGUCUGACGAUUCAGCCCAUAGUCCGAAACCAAGAAGGAUUGAGAACUUCUUGAGGAGAGUAAAAAUCUUCUCUUGCAUCUACACUGUUUGGAUCAGUUUUAAAGUGCAGGACGUAGUCCCGAUACAGUGGGGGGCCGAUGCAGCAAUGCGGCUCGAUGUAGUCUACAUGCAGGU